UUCUGCGGGCUCAUUCAAUGUCGGGAGCGGGCGUUCGGCACACCAGCGCUGGGGCUUGCGGCUCGGACCUGAGGAGGAGAGGCAGGCCCAGGCGGGACCCCCGGCUCCCUCUCCACGACUGGGCUGAGCUUAUCGGGGUCGUGUCCUGGGUCAGCUAGACGGAGGGACAGGGCAGAGCAUGGCCGAGUUAGAUCCCCUUGGAUUUUGCUCCUUUUGAGUCUGGAUGUUGAACCUGACUUUUUCGGUCAAUCCUCUUGCCAGAUCUAGGUACUGGUGGUGUCCGCAGUCUCAGAGCAGCACCCUGGCUGGCUGGCUGCUAUGGGAGAGGCAGGCCAAACCCUGCAGAGGAAUUGCCUUGAUGUGUAUGAAUGAGCGGGGUGGGCUCGUUGGAUUUGGGGAGAUAAUGAGCAAUGACUGUGUGCACCUGACAGGAUUCUCCUCCUGACAAGCAAGCCUGCUUGCCUUGGGUCCCUGCUGGGCCUCUGUCUCCUACCAUCACCUCGUCUGUAAACCCUCCUUUGCUCUGAAUUUGCAAUGUCCACCAGAAGUAAGCAAGGGAGACCUCAGCCCUGUCCAGUUAAAGAGAUGUGGCUCAGGCACGUGUGAGCAGCAGGCCCCCGCUGUGGAUCUGGUUUCUGCCCAUGAGUGGUACCCAGGGAGCAUCCUUUCUGGAAAGUUCAUCCACACGCAGAUGCUGGUGAGCUGGGCCCCUAUGGACUGGACCUUUUGGUGGACAAAUAGCUCUGUGCCUCACCGGAGCCAGGCUGUUCUUUGCUCUGCUAUUUGUUCUCCUUUUUGUGGGUCAUUUUCACCAUUACUGGGAACUUGAUGUAGGAAUAAUGCAGAAGGAAAUGAUACCAGUUCUGCAGAGCGGAGUGUCAGGUUUGGACGAGUGUGUGCCUGUGUCUGUGGGUGGACAGACCCCAGUGAAUGUGAUGGACGUGCUUCAGACACUUCCUUUAUGAAGCCUCGAAAAUGCCCAUCCUGCUUAUGGACAGUGUAAUAACAUGGGGUGCUUAGUUCUAGGCAUCCUAAGGAGAAAAUUGUUUCAGCAGCUGUAUCUUCCCAUCUGUCUUGUCGUCAGUGAAUGAUUUUCAAGAGUGUGGUUGAAGGAAGAGCAGACUCCACGGCCGUGUCUUUUUCCUUCAUUUCUCAAGCAAAGAAGCUAAAGGAGAACCUCAGGCCCCUAAAAGAAUUGCGUUCCUUGCAGGACUUUUCAAGACUUGGUGGACAGAUUUAUGUAAACAAACCACUAAGUUCCUCCUUAGGUAACCUCGAUCCUGAGAGUGAACACGAGUCUCUCAUAGAGUUUUGUUAUUUCCAUCACUGUAGAAGUUUCAGACUGUGCUCAGCAAGAUAUCACAAAAUUACUCAGCCAUAAAAAGAAUGAAAUCAUGCCACUUGCAGCGACAGGGAUGGGCCUAGAGAUUGUUACAUUGAAUGAGGUGAGUCAGGUGGAGACAGACAAAUGCGGUGUGAUAUCUCUUGUAUGUGGAUUCUAAAAAAGUGGUGCAAACGACUUACCUACAAAACGGACAGUCACAGAUAGAAAACAAGCUUAUAAUUACCAAAGGGAAAGCGAGAGGGAGGGAUACUCUGGGAGAUUGGGAUUGACAGAUACACACUAGUACAUAUAAAAUUAGAACCAAGAGGAACCUACUGCAGCACAUGGAACACUACUCAGCGCUGUGUUGCCCUAAAUGGAACGGAAAUCCGAAGGAGAGGGGAUACGUGUACAUGUGUAGCUGAUUCACUUUGCUGUCCCUGCGCUGCAGUCAGAUUCUUUACCCCCAAAGCCACCAGGGAAGCCCCAAAACUAACAGAACAUUGUAAAUCAACGACUACAACAACACAAAUUAAUUUUAAAAACAGACCUUACGAAAUGGAGGAAAAUUAAAGAGAGCAACGACCCACAGUGCAAUCUCUCACCUGCCCUUAACUGCCAUCAUUCUGGCCACCAUCCAGGGCAGGAAAACCAGCCUACAGAAAGAGAGAAGGAAGAUCUGAAGAGGAUUUAAGGAAGAGAGGUUUGGGUUUGUUGGGCUGCUGUCCUCAGGAUAAGACAGGAAAACUGACCAGGAACAGAUGAGAGCAAGGAAUCAGCAUGAGUUCUUUUUAGAGGAAAUGAAUCUACUGGCGUUUUCCAAGAAAGACAGAAUUUAGCACGGCAUGUCCAAAACAAAAAGAAAAAAAAAAAUGUGUCCACCGCUCUCCCAGCUGUCCAGCUAAAUGCAAAGAAAUACACACCUUUCUUGUUUUGGGGAUUCCCACUCCGAUGGGCACAUCCGAUGAGAAUUUGAGUACUUUCACUUAUACUCUAUUUUCCCCAAUCCAUCCGCAGGCACGUGUGUGUACACACACUCACAUGUGCACACACACACACACGCACACGUACACACCCUGCAGCCCACAGCUCCCCCUCAUGCUCCUAUCCUGUUGAUCUUUCUUCACUUAAAAAUUAUCAGCGAAGAAUUUAUUCAUUUGGGAGAAUUCCAGGCACUACAUUUACGUUUAGUUCCAAUGAAAUGGGAUCCAGACUUUGCGAACUGCGCCGUUAUGCAGAUAAAACACCAAGGCGGGCCCUCAGUGUCGCAGAUUCUGUCCUUUCUUUUUCCUUCUGCCUUUUUGUUUCUGAGUGAUUUUAAGCUUGCUUGGAAAGUCUUAUAACAGAGGCUGAACUUUUUUUCUCCACCACAUCUAUUUCAGGGGGGUUUUUAGUUAAGGAUAAUGAAUUUAUCUCUAAACAGAUGGAAGAGUUUUACCAAAGCCAGAAGAGACACUUUGGCUAAUAUCCCCUAUAGGCUGAUCUUAAUCCUCUCAUUGUUCAGAAUGCUUGGUCUCUGAGAGUUUUAUUUCUGUGCCAAAUGUCUUUAUUAAAUCAUUAUAUUAACACAUGAAAAAAAAUUCCAUGACAAUGUGUUUCCCUGUGUGAUCAAAAGUUACCCACAGCUCUGUUGAUGGCCUAUUUAUUCUGAAAUCCAAAAAGGUAAAAUUCUGGUAGAGCCCAAUGUUUGGCUAAGUUUUUCAAAAUUCAUUGUAAUAUGGCUGGAGGGUUACUAGGUCCUAGCCAGGAAAAGGUCUAAACUUAAUCAAGUUAGUAGUCCCCAACACAAAGAAAAUGAAAAAUGGGCCGUCCAUUCACCCACAGAAAUGAAUUCUUGGCCACUCUGUCCUGUGGUUUGACCUGUAGAGACACAAUGAGUCUGUCAUAUCCAUUUUGAUUUAAAAAAAAAACCCAAGGGGGCAAAUUCAAAGACAAAUUGCACUAGUGAAUCUAGGGUUGUGGAAUGAGGGAAAGAGUUUGUAAAGUAAAGAGAUAAAAAGAAAGAGAAAAAAGAAAAAAGAGAGAGAAAGAAAAAACUCAAGAAAAGCAGUCAAGAGUAUUUGAAUAUUGGAUUUUGAAAGUAAACUAAAAAUAAUAGUUAAGAUUUUUGAAUGCGAAAUUAAUGUAUGUUCAUUGCUGGGGGCAGAAAUCACUCAACUCUGCCACUGGAUAGAAAAGUGUAUUUGCUGUGGAUCCCUAGACUUGAUUUCUGCCUUGAGGCAGAAGUGAGCUUGAAAGAGUGGAUGUCGCAGUGCAGUUUCAGAACAGCGGCGCCCAAACUCCGGGAUCUAAUGCCUGAUGAUCUGAGGUGGAGUGGAUGUAGUCGUAGUAGCAGUAAAGUGCACAAUAAAUGCAAUGCUCUUGAAUCAUUCUGAAACCAUUCCCCUACCCCUACCCUGCUCGUAGAAAAACCGUCUUCCAUGAAUCCGACCCCCUGGUGGCCAGAAGGUUGAGGACUGCUGGUCUGGAGUCAUGGGGCUUUACGGGCACUGCACAUGCUCGGUCACUUCACUCUCGUCUGACUCUUUGUGACCCCACGGACUGUAGCCCACCAGGCUCUUCUGUCCAUGGGGAUUCUCCAGGCAAGAAUACUGGAGUGGGUUGCCAUGCCCUCCUCCAGGGAAUCCUGCUGACCAAGAGAUCGAACCUGCAUCUCUCACGUCUCCUGCAUUGGCAGGUGGGUUCUUUACCACUAGUGCCACUGAGGAAACUCCUUGUGGUCCCAAAAAAGAACCUCAAAAAGAGACCAAACUCAGAAGGUUCAGGGACUGUGGCCUUCAGGUGGAAGUGGAGGGUUGGGCGGACCAAGCAAAGGCAGUCAGCAGCAGGGUCCAGAGGAAGCAGUGGACACAGCAGGACAUGCAUGACUGGAGACCUUGGGCAGCAACAGGACGCAGCAGGAAGAGGUGGGAGGCGUGUGACCCAGGCCAGAGAGGGAAGGAGUGGGCAACAAAGAGCCUGGCCCUGGAGAUGCAUUUUGAGUCUUUAAACCUUUCAAAGAUAGUUAAUCCUAAUGACCUUUCUUGCUUCUUCCACAUGCCUUAGUAGCUCAUAUUAUUAUGAACUAUCUGCCAUGUUAAAAAUAAACAUUUCAGAGGGCUUUCCUGGUGGUUCAGUGGUAAAGAAUCCACCUGCCAAUGCAGGAGACACAGGUUUGAUCCCUAGUCUGGGAAGAUCCCACAUGCUUCAGAGCAACUGAGCGCCACAACUACUGAGCCUGCACUUUAGAGCCCCAGAGCUGCAACUACUGAGCCUGUGUCCUGCAAUUAACUAAGCCCUUGCGAGCUAGAGCUUGUGCUCAGCACCAAGGGAAGCCACUGCAAUGAGAAGCCUGCGCAGCGCAACUAGAGAGUAGUCCCUGCUCUCUGAAACUAGAGAAAGGUCCUGAAGAGCAACGAAGA